rnacentral:rRNA from 1 species
CGGGCGGGUGAGUAUGUGGUGGAACUGCCUGAUGGAGGGGGAUAACUACUGGAAACGGUAGCUAAUACCGCAUAACGUCGCAAGACCAAAGAGGGGGACCUUCGGGCCUCUUGCCAUCGGAUGUGCCCAGAUGGGAUUAGCUAGUAGGUGGGGUAACGGCUCACCUAGGCGACGAUCCCUAGCUGGUCUGAGAGGAUGACCAGCCACACUGGAACUGAGACACGGUCCAG